UACAGAGGUCUCAAGCGUUGUUCGGAAUUACUGGGCGUAAAGGGUGCGCAGGCCGCGCGGGCAGUCAAAUGUGUAAUCCAGGGGCUCAACCCCUGAACUGCGCUUGAUACUUCCGCGCUCGAGCUUUGGAGAGGGGUCUGGAAUUCUCGGUGUAGCAGUGAAAUGCGUGGAUAUCGAGAAGAACACUUAGGGCGUAGGCAAGACUCUGGACAAAUGCUGACGCUCAUGCACGAAGGCUAGGGUAGCGAACGGG
rnacentral:rRNA from 1 species